rnacentral:misc_RNA from 1 species
UAGAAAAAAGUAACGCUAGAAUGAGCUGUUUUCACUAGAUGGGGCAAAAUACGACGUUCUUUAGGGCCACAAUUCAGAUGAAGGUAAAAUUCGUUUCCAUUGUCGCAAUGGGGACAAUUUUCUAAAAUUAUUGGACACUUCUGAAUACGAUCAAGAUACGAUGGCGGCAGCUUAUGUGGUUCUCUUAUUAGCGUCAUCGUCACACGAUCGCCCUGCCCAACCGUCACCGCCGCCUGCAGAGCGGUGACAGACCGCCCAGAGGUGUCGCCAAACGUCCUACCAAUAAUAAAAUGGGAGUGGAAUAAAAAAUAAAAAAAUA